rnacentral:rRNA from 1 species
CCCUUAGAUGUCCUGGGCCGCACGCGCGCUACACUGACGAAUGCAACGAGCUUAUAACCUUGGCCGAAAGGUCUGGGUAAUCUCCAAAUUUCGUCGUGAUGGGGAUAGAUUAUUGCAAUUAUUAAUCUUCAACGAGGAAUGCCUAGUAAGCGCAAGUCAUCAGCUUGCGUUGAUUACGUCCCUGCCCUUUGUACACACCGCCCGUCGCUACUACCGAUUGAACGUUUUAGUGAGGUAUUUGGACUGGACCUUCGGAGGUUCGCGCCUCCGUUGCUGUUCGGGAAGACUCCCAAACUUGAGCGUUUAGAGGAAGUAAAAGUCGUAACA